rnacentral:rRNA from 1 species
AACGUAGGAGACAACCGUUAUCCGGAGUUACUGGGCGUAAAGGGCGUGUAGGUGGUUUCGUAAGUCUGGCGUGAAAUUUUUCGGCUUAACCGGGAAAGGUCGUCGGAUACUGCGGGACUAGAGGACGGUAGAGGCGUGUGGAAUUCCGGGUGUAGUGGUGAAAUGCGUAGAGAUCCGGAGGAACACCAGUGGCGAAGGCGACACGCUGGGCCGUACCUGACACUGAUGCGCGACAGCAUGGGGAGCAAACAGG